CUGCCUGUUUUAAUUGUUUUGUUUUUUGUUUCCUUUAGUUUUUUUUUCUUCAGUUUUUUUUACCUAUUUUUUUGCCUGGCACCUCUUUCUUGAUGAGCUACUCUUAGUCUGGUCCCUCCCCCAGGACCUGCUGCCUUGGGUAACCUUUCAGAGGCAUAAAGCCCUGACAACAUAGCUCCUGGGAUCAUUGGGACACACAAACCCCUCCACCACGGUAAGGUGGUAGCUCAAGGAGGGGAAAAAACCCUCACAUGGGAGGGAAAAACCGCAAGGGUUUUUUUUUCUGUGCAAAACACCCGGUUUAGGGUGGGUUUUUGUUCUUUUUUUUCAGAAAUACUUUUCAUUUCUUUAGUUUCCUAUAGUUCUUUUUUAUUUUUCUGCCUGUUUUAAGUUUUUUUUUCAGAAAUACUGUGAUGUUUCUUUUUUUUUUAGUUUUUUUUUAUGAAUACUAUUCUUUUUCUCAGUUUUCUUUAGUUUUUUUUGUCAUUUAUAAAUAUUAAGGGUUUUCCUUUCUGAAAUACUUUUCCUUCUGUUUUUUUAUUUUGUUUAUACUAUCCUUUCUCUUUUUUAGUUUUCUUUAGUAUUUUCUACCUGUUUUAAGUUUUUUUUUUGUUUUUUUUGUUUUUUCUAUAUAUUUAGGGUGUUUUUUUCUGAAAUACUUUUCCUUCUGUUUUUUUUAUUUUGUUUAUACUAUCCUUUCUCUUUUUUAGUUUUCUUUAGUUUUUUUCUGCCUGUUUUAAGUUUUUUUUGUUUUUUCUAUAUAUUUAGGGUGUUUUAUCAGAAAUACUUUUCCUUCUGUUUUUUUUAUUUUGUUUAUACUAUCCUUUCUCUUUUUUAGUUUUCUUUAGUUUUUUUCUGCCUGUUUUAAGUUUUUUUUAGUUUUUUUAGUUUUUUAGUUUUUUCUAUAUAUUUAGGGUGUUUUUUCUGAAAUACUUUUCCUUCUGUUUUUUUUAUUUUUUUUAUACUAUCCUUUCUCUUUCUUUAAUUUUCUUUAGUUUUUUGUCUGCCUGUUUUAAGUGUUUUUUUUUAUUUUUUAAAGUUUUUUUUUAGAAAUACUAUUCUUUUUCUUCUUUUUUUAGUUUUCUUUAGUUUUAUUCUGCCUGUUUUUAAGGGUUUUUUUAGGUUUUUUUCAGUUUUUUGUUAUUUAUAUAUAUAAACAACCUGUUUUAAGGUUGUUUUUUAGUUUUUUUCUUGUUGUUAUUUAUAUAUAUUAAGGGUGUUCUUUUCUGAAAUACUUUUCCUUCUUUUUUUUCAUUUUGUUUAUAAUAUCCUUUCUCUUUUUUAGUUUUCUUUAGUUUUUUUCUGCCUGUUUUAAGUUUUUUUUUUUUUUUUUUUUCUAUAUAUUUAGGGUGUUUUUUUUCUCAAAUACUAUUCUUUUUCUCCUUUUUUUAGUUUUCUUUAGUUUUAUUCUGCCUGUUUUUAAGGUUUUUUUUUAGUUUUUUUUCAGUUUUUUGUUAUUUAUAUACACUCACUGGCCACUUUAUUAGGUACACCUGUCCAACUGCUCGUUAACACUUAAUUUCUAAUCAGCCAAUCACAUGGCGGCAACUUAGUGCAUUUAGGCAUGUAGACAUGGUCAAGACAAUCUCCUGCAGUUCAAACCGAGCAUCAGUAUGGGGAAGAAAGGUGAUUUGAGUGACUUUGAACGUGGCAUGGUUGUUAGUGCCAGAAGGGCUGGUCUGAGUAUUUCAGAAACUGCUGAUCUACUGGGAUUUUCACGCACAACCAUCUCUAGGGUUUACAGAGAAUGGUCCGAAAAAGAAAAAAUAUCCAGUGAGCGGCAGUUCUGUGGGCGGAAAUGCCUUGUUGAUGCCAGAGGUCAGAGGAGAAUGGCCAGACUGGUUUGAGCUGAUAGAAAGGCAACAGUGACUCAAAUAACCACCCGUUACAACCAAGGUAGGCAGAAGAGCAUCUCUGAACGCACAGUACAUCGAACUUUGAGGCAGAUGGGCUACAGCAGCAGAAGACCACGCCAGGUGCCACUCCUUUCAGCUAAGAACAGGAAACUGAGGCUACAAUUUGCACAAGCUCAUCGAAAUUGGACAAUGAAGAUUGGAAAAACGUUGCCUGGUCUGAUGAGUCUCGAUUUCUGCUGCGACAUUCGGAUGGUAGGGUCAGAAUUUGGCGUCAACAACAUGAAAGCAUGGAUCCAUCCUGCCUUGUAUCAACAGUUCUGGCUGGUGGUGGUGGUGUCAUGGUGUGGGGAAUAUUUUCUUGGCACUCUUUGGGCCCCUUGGUACCAAUUGAGCAUCGUUGCAACGCCACAGCCUACCUGAGUAUUGUUGCUGACCAUGUCCAUCCCUUUAUGACCACAAUGUACCCAACUUCUGAUGGCUACUUUCAGCAGGAUAAUGCGCCAUGUCAUAAAGCUGGAAUCAUCUCAGACUGGUUUCUUGAACAUGACAAUGAGUUCACUGUACUCAAAUGGCCUCCACAGUCACCAGAUCUCAAUCCAAUAGAGCAUCUUUGGGAUGUGGUGGAGCGGGAGAUUCGCAUCAUGGAUGUGCAGCCGACAAAUCUGCGGCAACUGUGUGAUGCCAUCAUGUCAAUAUGGACCAAGCUCUCUGAGGAAUGCUUCCAGCACCUUGUUGAAUCUAUGCCACGAAGAAUUGAGGCAGUUCUGAAGGCAAAAGGGGGUCCAACCCGUUACUAGCAUGGUGUACCUAAUAAAGUGGCCGGUGAGUGUAUAUAUAUAGGUUGUUCUUUUCUGAAAUACUUUUCCUUGUGUUUUUUUAUUUUGUUUAUACUAUCCUUUCUAUCCUUCUAUCCUUUAUCCUAUCCUUUCUUAUAGUUUUUUUAGUUCUUUUUGUUAUAUAUAUUUAGGGUGUUUUUUUUCAGAAAUACUUUUCCUUCUGUUUUUUUAUUUUGUUUACACUAUCCUUUCUCUUCUUUUUAGUUUACUUUAGUUUUUUUCUGCCUGUUUUAAGUUUUUUUUUUAGUUUUUUAAAGUUUUUUUUAGAAAUACUAUUCUUUUUCUUCUUUUUUUAGUUUUCUUUAGUUUUAUUCUGCCUGUUUUUAAGGGGUUUUUUCAGGUUUUUUUCAGUUUUUUUGAAGUUUUUUUAGAAAUACUAAUCUUCUUGUUUUUAUUAGUUUUCUUUAGUUUUAUUCUGCCUGUUUUAAGUUUUUUUUUUUUUCUAUAUAUUUGGGGUGUUUUUUCUGAUAUACCUUUCUUUCUGUUUUUUUAAUUUUGUUUAUACUAUCCUUUCUCUUUUUUUAAUUUUCUUUAGUUUUUUGUCUGCCUGUUUUAAGUUUUUUGUAUUAGUUUUUUGAGUUCUUUUUGUUUUUUAUAAUUAGGGUGUUUUUUUCAGAAAUACUUUUCCUUCUGUUUUUUUUUAUUUUGUUUACACUAUCCUUUCUCCUCUUUUUAGUUUACUUUAGUUUUUUUCUGCCUGUUUUAAGUUUUUUUUUUAGUUUUUUAAAGUUUUUUUAGAAAUACUAUUCUUUUUCUUCUUUUUUUAGUUUUCUUUAGUUUUAUUCUGCCUGUUUUUAAGGGUUUUUUUCAGGUUUUUUUCAGUUUUUUUGUUAUUUAUAUAUAUAUAGGUUGUUCUUUUCUGAAAUACUUUUCCUUCUGUUUUUUUAUUUUGUUUAUACUAUCCUUUCUAUCCUUCUAUCCUUUAUCCUAUCCUUUCUUUUGUUUUUUUUAAUUCUAUUUGUUAUAUAUAUUUAGGGUGUUUUUUUUCAGAAAUACUUUUCCUUCUGUUUUUUAAAUUUUGUAUACACUAUCCUUUCUCCUUUUUUUAGUUUACUUUAGUUUUUUUCUGCCUGUUUUAAGUUUUUUUUAGUUUUUUUAGUUUUUUAAAGUUUUUUUAGAAAAUACUAUUCUUUUUCUUCUUUUUUAGUUUUCUUUAGUUUUAUCCUGCCUGUUUUUAAGUUUUUUUUUUAGUUUUUUUUUUCUUUUUUUAUUAUUUAUAUAUAUAUAGGUUGUUCUUUUCUGAAAUACUUUUCCUUCUGUUUUUUUAUUUUGUUUAUACUAUCCUUUCUCUUUUUUAGUUUUCUUCAGUUUUUUUCUGCCUGUUUUAAUUUUUUUUUGUUUUUUCUAUAUAUUUAGGGUGUUUUUUCUGAUAUACUUUUCUUUCUGUUUUUUUAAUUUUGUUUAUACUAUCCUUUCUCUUUUUUUAGUUUUCUUUAGUUUUUUGUCUGCCUGUUUUAAGUUUUUUUUAUUAGUUUUUUUAGUUCUUUUUGUUAUAUAUAUUUAGGGUGUUUUUUUUUCGGAAAUAGUUUUCCUUCUGUUUUUUUAUUUUGUUUACACUAUCCUUUCUCCUCUUUUUAGUUCACUUUAGUUUUUUUCUGCCUGUUUUAAGUUUUUUUUUUAGUUUUUUUUAGUUUUUUAAAGUUUUUUUUAGAAAUACUAUUCUUUUUUUUCUUUUUUUAGUUUUCUUUAGUUUUAUUCUGCCUGUUUUUAAGGUUUUUUUUAAGGUUUUUUUCAGUUUUUUGUUAUUUAUAUAUAUAUAUAGGUUGUUUUUUUCUGAAAUACUUUUCCUUCUUUUUUUUAUUUUGUUUAUACUAUCCUUUCUCCUUUUUAGUUUUCUUUAGUUUUUGUCUGCCUGUUAUAAGUUUUUUUUUAGUUUUUUGAAGUUUUUUUUAGAAAUACUAAUCUUCUUUUUAUUAGUUUUCUUUAGUUUUUUUCUGCCUGUUUUAAUUGUUUUGUUUUUUGUUUCCUUUAGUUUUUUUUUCUUCAGUUUUUUUUCCUAUUUUUUUGCCUGGCACCUCUUUCUUGAUGAGCUACUCUUAGUCUGGUCCCUCCCCCAGGACCUGCUGCCUUGGGUAACCUUUCAGAGGCAUAAAGCCCUGACAACAUAGCUCCUGGGAUCAUUGGGACACACAAACCCCUCCACCACGGUAAGGUGGUAGCUCAAGGAGGGGAAAAAACCCUCACAUGGGAGGGAAAAACCGCAAGGGUUUUUUUUUCUGUGCAAAACACCCGGUUUAGGGUGGGUUUUUGUUCUUUUUUUUCGGAAAUACUUUUCAUUUCUUUAGUUUCCUAUAGUUCUUUUUUAUUUUUCUGCCUGUUUUAAGUUUUUUUUCAGAAAUACUGUGAUGUUUCUUUUUUUUUUUUAGUUUUUUUUUUUACGAAUACUAUUCUUUUUCUCAGUUUUCUUUAGUUUUUUUUGUCAUUUAUAAAUAUUAAGGGUUUUCCUUUCUGAAAUACUUUUCCUUCUGUUUUUUUAUUUUGUUUAUACUAUCCUUUCUCUUUUUUAGUUUUCUUUAGUAUUUUCUACCUGUUUUAAGUUUUUUUUUUUUUUUUUUUUUUUUCUAUAUAUUUAGGGUGUUUUUUUCUGAAAUACUUUUCCUUCUGUUUUGUUUUAUUUUGUUUAUACAAUCCUUUCUCUUUUUUAGUUUUCUUUAGUUUUUUUCUGCCUGUUUUAAGUUUUUUUUUUAGUUUUUUUUUGUUUUUUUUCUAUAUAUUUAGGGUGUUUUUUCUGAUAUACUUUUCUUUCUGUUUUUUUUAAUAUUGUUUAUACUAUCAUUUCUCUUUAUUUAGUUUUCUUUAGUUUUUUGUCUGCCUGUUUUAAGAUGUUUUUAUUAGUUUUUUUAGUUCUUUUUGUUAUAUAUAUUUAGGGUGUUUUUUUUCAGAAAUAGUUUUCCUUCUGUUUUUUUUUAUUUUGUUUACACUGUCCUUUCUCUUUUUUUUUAAUUUUCUUUAGUUUUUUGUCUGCCUGUUUUUAGUUUUUUUUUUUAGUUUUUUUUUUAGUUCUUUUUGUAAUAUAUUUAGGGUGUUUUAUCAGAAAUACUUUUCCUUCUGUUUUUUUAUUUUGUUUAUAAUAUCCUUUCUCCUUUUUUAGUUUACUUUAGUUUUUUCUGCCUGUUUUAAGUUUUUUUUUUAGAUUUUUUUUAGUUUUUUAAAGUUUGUUUUAGAAAUACUAUUCUUUUUCUUCUUUUUUUAGGUUUCUUUAGUUUUUUUCUGCCUGUUUUAAGGUUGUUUUUUAGUUUUUUUUUCUUGUUGUUAUUUAUAUAUAUAUAGGUUGUUCUUUUCUGAAAUACUUUUCCUUCUGUUUUUUUUAUUUUGUUUAUACUAUCCUUUCUCUUUUUUAGUUUUCUUUAGUUUUUUUCUGCCUGUUUUAAGUUUUUUUUGUUUUUUCUAUAUAUUUAGGGUGUUUUUUUUCUCAAAUACUUUUCCUUCUGUUUUUUUUAUUUUGUUUACACUAUCCUUUCUCUUUUUUUAAUUUUCUUUAGUUUUUUGUCUGCCUGUUUUUAGUUUUUUUUUUUUUAGUUUUUUUUAGUUCUUUUUGUAAUAUAUUUAGGGUGUUUUAUCAGAAAUACUUUUCCUUCUGUUUUUUUUAUUUUGUUUAUACUAUCCUUUCUCUUUUUUAGUUUUCUUUAGUUUUUUUCUGCCUGUUUUAAGUUUUUUUUAGUUUUUUUAGUUUUUUAGUUUUUUCUAUAUAUUUAGGGUGUUUUUUUCUGAAAUACUUUUCCUUCUGUUUUUUUUAUUUUGUUUAUACUAUCCUUUCUCUUUCUUUAAUUUUCUUUAGUUUUUUGUCUGCCUGUUUUAAGUGUUUUUUUUUAGUUUUUUAAAGUUUUUUUUUAGAAAUACUAUUCUUUUUCUUCUUUUUUUAGUUUUCUUUAGUUUUAUUCUGCCUGUUUUUAAGGGUUUUUUUAGGUUUUUUUCAGUUUUUUGUUAUUUAUAUAUAUAAACAACCUGUUUUAAGGUUGUUUUUUAGUUUUUUUCUUGUUGUUAUUUAUAUAUAUUAAGGGUGUUCUUUUCUGAAAUACUUUUCCUUCUUUUUUUUCAUUUUGUUUAUAAUAUCCUUUCUCUUUUUUAGUUUUCUUUAGUUUUUUUCUCCCUGUUUUAAGUUUUUUUUUUUUUUUUUUUUUUUCUAUAUAUUUAGGGUGUUUUUUUUCUCAAAUACUAUUCUUUUUCUCCUUUUUUUUAGUUUUCUUUAGUUUUAUUCUGCCUGUUUUUAAGGUUUUUUUUUAGUUUUUUUUCAGUUUUUUGUUAUUUAUAUACACUCACUGGCCACUUUAUUAGGUACACCUGUCCAACUGCUCGUUAACACUUAAUUUCUAAUCAGCCAAUCACAUGGCGGCAACUUAGUGCAUUUAGGCAUGUAGACAUGGUCAAGACAAUCUCCUGCAGUUCAAACCGAGCAUCAGUAUGGGGAAGAAAGGUGAUUUGAGUGACUUUGAACGUGGCAUGGUUGUUAGUGCCAGAAGGGCUGGUCUGAGUAUUUCAGAAACUGCUGAUCUACUGGGAUUUUCACGCACAACCAUCUCUAGGGUUUACAGAGAAUGGUCCGAAAAAGAAAAAAUAUCCAGUGAGCGGCAGUUCUGUGGGCGGAAAUGCCUUGUUGAUGCCAGAGGUCAGAGGAGAAUGGCCAGACUGGUUUGAGCUGAUAGAAAGGCAACAG
rnacentral:lncRNA from 1 species